GUGGUCAAGUGUGUAUGGCACACGGUGGAUGCCUUGGCGCUAGGAGCCGAUGAAGGACGUGGGAGCCUGCGAUAAGCCUCGGGGAGCCGGCAACCAGGCGUUGAUCCGGGGGUGUCCGAAUGGGGGAACCCGGCGGGUGUCACGAUCCGUCACCGCUGUCUGAAUGUAUAGGGCAGUGGAGGGGACGCGGGGAAGUGAAACAUCUCAGUACCCGCAGGAAGAGAAAACAAGAGUGAUCCUCGGAGUAGUGGUGAGCGAAACGGGGUGAGGCUAAACCGAUCAUGUGGAGAAGCCGGCAGGUGUUGCGUGGUCGGGGUUGUGGGACCGCUCGGUCGGGGCUGCCGCUCCGGCGGGGAGUGAGAAACCGUGGGGUUAGCCGAAGGGCCUGGGAUGGUCCGGCGUAGUGGGUGAGACUCCCGUAGGUGAAGGCCCUGUGGCUCUCGAGUGGGAUCCCAAGUAGCACGGGGCUCGGGAAAUCCUGUGUGAAUCGGGCAGGACCUCCUGUCAAGCCUAAAUAUGUCCUAGCGACCGAUAGUGCACCAGUACCGUGAGGGAAAGGUGAAAAGUGCCCCGGUGAGGGGUUGUGAAAGAGAACUUGAAACCGUGUGCUGACAAGCCGUGGGAGCAUGCUUGUGGGUGUGUGACCGCGUGCCUAUUGAAGAAUGAGCCUGCGAGUUGUGGUGUGUGGCGAGGUUAACCCGGGUGGGGCAGCCGUAGCGAAAGCGAGUCUUUGUGGGCGGAUAGUCGCAUGCUGCAGACCCGAAACGGAGUGAUCUACCCAUGUCCAGGGUGAAGCGCGGGUAAGACCGUGUGGAGGCCCGAACCCACCAGG
rnacentral:rRNA from 1 species